rnacentral:rRNA from 1 species
UAGGGAAUCUUCGGCAAUGGGGGCAACCCUGACCGAGCAACGCCGCGUGAGUGAAGAAGGUUUUCGGAUCGUAAAGCUCUGUUGUAAGAGAAGAACGUGUGUGAGAGUGGAAAGUUCACACAGUGACGGUAACUUACCAGAAAGGGACGGCUAACUACGUGCCAGCAGCCGCGGUAAUACGUAGGUCCCGAGCGUUGUCCGGAUUUAUUGGGCGUAAAGCGAGCGCAGGCGGUUUAAUAAGUCUGAAGUUAAAGGCAGUGGCUUAACCAUUGUUCGCUUUGGAAACUGUUAAACUUGAGUGCAGAAGAGGAGAGUGGAAUUCCAUGUGUAGCGGUGAAAUGCGUAGAUAUAUGGAGGAACACCGGUGGCGAAAGCGGCUCUCUGGUCUGUAACUGACGCUGAGGCUCGAAAGCGUGGGGAGCAAACAGG